CAGCGCCACGAGUGGCAAUCGCGAUUAUUGGGCCUAAAGCGUCCGUAGCCGGUUCGGUAAAUCCUUUGUGAAAUCGCCAAGCUUAACUUGGCGGCGUGCAGGGGACACUGCCGAACUCGAGACCGGGAGGAGUUAGAAGUAUUUUUGGGGGAGCGGUAAAAUGCUAUAAUCCCAGAAAGACUACCGAUGGCGAAGGCAUCUAACUAGAACGGAUCUGACGGUGAGGGACGAAAGCCAGGGGAGCGAACCGGAUUAGAGACCCGAGUAGUCC
rnacentral:rRNA from 1 species